UGGGGAAUUUUGGACAAUCGGGGAAACCCUGAUCCAGCCAUCCCGCGUGUGCGAUGAAGGCCUUCGGGUUGUAAAGCACUUUUGGCAGGAAAGAAACGUCAUGGGUUAAUACCCCGUGAAACUGACGGUACCUGCAGAAUAAGCACCGGCUAACUACGUGCCAGCAGCCGCGGUAAUACGUAGGGUGCAAGCGUUAAUCGGAAUUACUGGGCGUAAAGCGUGCGCAGGCGGUUCGGAAAGAAAGAUGUGAAAUCCCAGAGCUCAACUUUGGAACUGCAUUUUUAACUACCGGGCUAGAGUGUGUCAGAGGGAGGUGGAAUUCCGCGUGUAGCAGUGAAAUGCGUAGAUAUGCGGAGGAAAACCGAUGGCGAAGGCAGCCUCCUGGGAUAACACUGACGCUCAUGAACGAAAGCGUGGGGAGCAAACAGG
rnacentral:rRNA from 1 species